GUGGGUAUAGCUCAGUGGUAGACUGCAUGCUUGGCAUGCACGAGGUCCUGGGUUCAAUCCCCAGUUCCUCCA
rnacentral:tRNA from 1 species